GUGCAAAAAUUAUUUCUAAGUGUCGGACCAAUGGGUUGUCGGAUAUAUUGGUUGUUGGACUAAUGGGUUGUCGGAUAAUUGGGUUGUCGGACUAAUUUCGAAUUAAGGGACAGGAUGUAGAUAUACAAACUCGCUCGAUGAGAGAUAAUUUGAUAUUUCGCGGGACUCCUGAUGUUUCUGAUAUCAAACAAACUGAAAAUACGGAAGA
rnacentral:lncRNA from 1 species